UGGAAAACCCACGUGAAAUUUGGUAUAAAAUUUUGAAAUUAUUGAUAUUUUCCACCUAUUAAUGAAAUUUCCACAUCAAAAUUUGUUUAAAGAAAAAACACGAUGUAGCAUUUCUAACCCAAUCAGCCAAACAUAAGCCAGGUAAAAAACAAGUCUUUCAUCGAUCGCAAGGUGAAUAAAAAAAAAAAAACCUUAGUUUCAGUGUGGGGAAAAAUUACAGAGGGAGAGUUCAAACUUGGUUCGAUCGAAAGGAGUUCUCAACAAUGGAUAGGAGAUUAUGGAGAUAGAAGGGAAAAUCCAAGGCGACGAAUGUUUCCUCUCAUCGCUAUUGUGUCACCACUGCACCAGAGAAGCGAGAAUAAGCAAAGAAAAUUUUCCCCAAUUUUUAGGGUUCUUCAUUUAUAAAUAAAAGAAAGUAGUGACUAAAAUGAUAAUGGUUUAGUUAUAUGUAUAAAUUCUGAUGUGAAAAUUUCAUUAGUAGGUAGAAAUUAUUAAUAAUAUCAUAAUUUUAUAUCAUCAAA